rnacentral:rRNA from 1 species
AUUGAACGCUGGCGGCAGGCCUAACACAUGCAAGUCGAGCGGAUGAAGGGAGCUUGCUCCUGGAUUCAGCGGCGGACGGGUGAGUAAUGCCUAGGAAUCUGCCUGGUAGUGGGGGAUAACGUCCGGAAACGGGCGCUAAUACCGCAUACGUCCUGAGGGAGAAAGUGGGGGAUCUUCGGACCUCACGCUAUCAGAUGAACCUAGGUCGGAUUAGCUAGUUGGUGGGUUAAAGGCCUACCAAGGCGACCAUCCGUAACUGGUCUGAGAGGAUGAUCAGUCACACUGGAACUGAGACACGGUCCAGACUACUACGGGAGGCAGCAGUCGGGAAUAUUGGACAAUGGGCGAAAGCCUGGUCCAGCCAUGGCGCGUGUGUGAAGAAGGUCUUCGGAUUGUAAAGCCCUUUAAGUUGGGAGGAAGCGCAGUAAGUUAAUACCUUGCUGUUUUGACGUUACCAACAGAAUAAGCACCGGCUAACUUCGUG